UAUUAAAAAUUUUAUUCAUUUUUACCAUUAAAAAUUAAAGUGGUUGAUGGAAUAACCAAACACUGACACGUGGUGUACACCACGUGUAUCUUAUACUGAUAUAUAAUGACCAGUUUUUAAUCGUAGAAGUUUAUUAAAUUUUUAACA
rnacentral:pre_miRNA from 1 species